AUACGGAGGGUGCAAGCGUUAAUCGGAAUUACUGGGCGUAAAGCGAGUGUAGGCGGCUACGUAAGUCGGAUGUGAAAGCCCUGGGCUCAACCUGGGAAUUGCAUUCGAAACUGCGUGGCUAGAGUUUGAUAGAGGUAAGUGGAAUUCCGGGUGUAGCGGUGAAAUGCGUAGAUAUCCGGAGGAACAUCAGUGGCGAAGGCGGCUUACUGGAUCAAAACUGACGCUGAGGCUCGAAAGCGUGGGGAGCAAACAGGAUUAGAAACCCCGGUAGUCC
rnacentral:rRNA from 1 species